rnacentral:rRNA from 1 species
CCUACGGGGGGCUGCAGUGGGGGAUAUUGCACAAUGGGGGCAACCCUGAUGCAGUGACGCCGCGUGAGCGAUGGAGUACUUCGGUAUGUAAAGCUCUGUCAGCAGGGAAGAGAAUGACGGUACCUGACCAAGAAGCCCCGGCUAAAUACGUGCCAGCAGCCGCGGUAAUACGUAUGGGGCAAGCGUUAUCCGGAUUUACUGGGUGGAAAGGGAGCGUAGGCGGCAGGGCAAGCCUGGUGGGAAAGCCCGGGGCUCAACCCCGGGACUGCAUUGGGAACUGCCCCGCUCGAGUGGCGGAGGGGCAGGCGGAAUUCCUAGUGUAGCGGUGAAAUGCGGAGAUAUUAGGAGGAACACCAGGGGCGAAGGCGGCCUGCUGGACGGUGUACUGACGCUGAGGCUCGAAAGCGUGGGGAGCAAACAGGAUUAGAUACCCUUGUAGUC